rnacentral:rRNA from 1 species
GACGUAGGGCGCGAGCGUUGUCCGGAUUUACUGGGCGUAAAGAGCUCGUAGGUGGUUUGUCGCGUUGUUCGUGAAAACUCACAGCUCAACUGUGGGCGUGCGGGCGAUACGGGCAGACUGGAGUACUGCAGGGGAGACUGGAAUUCCUGGUGUAGCGGUGGAAUGCGCAGAUAUCAGGAAGAACACCAAUGGCGAAAGCAGCUCUCUGGGACGGUACUGACGCUGAGACGCGAAAGCGUGGGGAGCGAACAGG